CUGCUCUCAGAUGUUCAGAGAAUGAGCUGGGUUGUUGUGUUUCAUUAAGCUGCAGCUAAUAGGCCCGAUGGUCCUCGCACACGACUAGCUGGCCAAGAGCAUGGAGUGAGCAAAGGUGUUCUUCAGUGAUGUCUGGGAAGUACUGGGAAGUCAUUGCUUUGUUGGUACAGAGCCUGGACCUGGGUAUAGCCACCCAAUCCCAAUCAAGAGACCAGCACCAUUGGGCUGGCUCCUCGCCCCUCCAAAACAAACACCACUCCUCAGUGUUCCAAACAUCCCAUCCUUCCUCCCUUCUCAGGCUUACAUUUGAGUAGGUGCUCAAAGUUUAGGUGAAAGAGUAA